rnacentral:rRNA from 1 species
UACGAAGGGGGCUAGCGUUGUUCGGAAUUACUGGGCGUAAAGCGCGCGCAGGCGGCUAUCCAAGUCAGUGGUGAAAGCCCGGAGCUCAACUCCGGAACUGCCAUUGAAACUGUUUAGCUUGAGGAUGAGAGAGGUGAGUGGAAUUCCCAGUGUAGAGGUGAAAUUCGUAGAUAUUGGGAAGAACACCGGUGGCGAAGGCGACUCACUGGCUCAUUACUGACGCUCAGGCGCGAUAGCGUGGGGAUCAAACAGG